GUGAAGCGGCCAAAGCUCAAAUUUUGAAAUCCUGGCACCUUCCGGUGUCCGAAGUUGUAAUUUGAAGAAGGUAACUUUGGAGUUGGCUCUUGUCUAUGUUCCUUGGAACAGGACGUCACAGAGGGUGAGAAUCCCGUGCGAUGAGAUGCCCAAUUCUAUGUAAAGUGCUUUCGAAGAGUCGAGUUGUUUGGGAAUGCAGCUCUAAAGUGGGUGGUAAAUUCCAUCUAAAGCUAAAUAUUGGCGAGAGACCGAUAGCGAACAAGUACAGUGAUGGAAAGAUGAAAAGAACUUUGAAAAGAGAGUGAAAAAGUACGUGAAAUUGUUGAAAGGGAAGGGCUUGAGAUCAGACUUGGUAUUUUGCGAUCCUUUCCUUCUUGGUUGGGUUCCUCGCAGCUUACUGGGCCAGCAUCGGUUUGGAUGGUAGGAUAAUGACUAAGGAAUGUGGCUCUACUUCGGUGGAGUGUUAUAGCCUUGGUUGAUACUGCCUGUCUAGACCGAGGACUGCGUCUUUUGACUAGGAUGUUGGCAUAAUGAUCUUAAGCCACCCGUCUUGA
rnacentral:rRNA from 1 species